rnacentral:rRNA from 1 species
UGGGGAAUAUUGCACAAUGGGCGCAAGCCUGAUGCAGCAACGCCGCGUGAGGGACGACGGCCUUCGGGUUGUAAACCUCUUUUAGUAGGGAAGAAGCGAAAGUGACGGUACCUGCAGAAAAAGCACCGGCUAACUACGUGCCAGCAGCCGCGGUAAUACGUAGGGUGCAAGCGUUGUCCGGAAUUAUUGGGGCGUAAAGAGCUCAUAGGCGGUUUGUCGCGUCUGCUGUGAAAAACCCGAGGCUCAACCUCGGGCCUGCAGUGGGUACGGGCAGACUAGAGUGCGGUAGGGGAGAAUGGAAUUCCUGGUGUAGCGGUGGAAUGCGCAGAUAUCAGGAGGAACACCGAUGGCGAAGGCAGUUCUCUGGGCCGUAACUGACGCUGAGGAGCGAAAGCGUGGGGAGCGAACAGGAUUAGAUACCCUGGUAGUCCACGCCGUAAAACGUUGGGCGCUAGAUGUGGGGACCAUUCCACGGUUUCCGUGUCGCAGCUAACGCAUUAAGCGCCCCGCCUGGGGAGUACGGCCGCAAGGCU